GGCGGAGUAGAGAAAUUCUAUGUUCAAGUAGAUUUAUUCUACUUACAAUAACAACAAUACAUUAUGGUAAACUCAAUUGAAUUGAAAUCAAUAGAUUGCUGGUUCGAGUCCAGCCUCCGCCA
rnacentral:tRNA from 1 species